AUACGGAGGGGGCUAGCGUUGUUCGGAAUUACUGGGCGUAAAGCGCGCGUAGGCGGAUUGAUCAGUCAGGGGUGAAAUCCCGGAGCUUAACUCCGGAACUGCCUUUGAUACUGUCAAUCUUGAGUUCGAGAGAGGUGAGUGGAAUUCCUAGUGUAGAGGUGAAAUUCGUAGAUAUUAGGAAGAACACCAGUGGCGAAGGCGGCUCACUGGCUCGAUACUGACGCUGAGGUGCGAAAGCGUGGGGAGCAAACAGGAUUAGAUACCCCAGUAGUCC
rnacentral:rRNA from 1 species